rnacentral:rRNA from 1 species
AAAGCGGGUGUAGGUGGCUAUGCAAGUCGGAUGUGAAAUCCCUAGGCUCAACCUAGGACGUGCGUUCGAUACUGUGUGGCUAGAGUACGGUAGAGGAAAGUGGAAUUCCUAGUGUAGGGGUGAAAUCCGUAGAUAUUAGGAGGAAUACCAAUGGCGAAGGCAGCUUUCUGGCCCGUAACUGACACUCAGACCCGAAAGCGUGGGUAGCAAACAGGAUUAGAUACCCUGGUAGUCCACGCCGUAAACGAUGGAUGCUUGUCGUUGGAGGAUUGAAACCUUCAGUGACGGAGUUAACGCGUUAAGCAUCCCGCCUGGGGAGUACGGUCGCAAGAUUAAAACUCAAAGAAAUUGACGGGGACCCGCACAAGCAGUGGAGCAUGUGGUUUAAUUCGACGCAACGCGAAGAACCUCAUCCUGGUCUUGACAUCUACUGGACGGCUCAUGGAAACAAGGCUUUCCCUUCGGGGACUGGUAGACAGGUGCUGCAUGGCUGUCGUCAGCUCGUGUCGUGAGAUGUUGGGUUAAGUCCCGCAACGAGCGCAACCCACGCCCCUUGUUGCCAUCAUUUAGUUGGGCACUCUAGGGGGACCGCCGGCGUCAAGCCGGAGGAAGGUGUGGAUGACGUCAAGUCCUCAUGGCCCUUAUGACCAGGGCUACACACGUGCUACAAUGGGACGCACAAAGGGCUGCCAAACCGUAAGGUGGAGCAAAUCUCAAAAAACGUCCCUCAGUUCGGAUUGAGGUCUGCAACUCGACCUCAUGAAGCUGGAAUUGCUAGUAA